rnacentral:rRNA from 1 species
GUGCCAGCAGCCGCGGUAAUACGGAGGGUGCAAGCGUUGUUCGGAAUUAUUGGGCGUAAAGCGCGUGUAGGCGGCUAUUUAAGUCUGAUGUGAAAGCCCGGGGCUCAACCUCGGAAGUGCAUUGGAAACUGGAUAGCUAGAGUAUGGUAGAGGGUGGUGGAAUUUCCUGUGUAGCGGUGAAAUGCGUAGAUAUAGGAAGGAACACCAGUGGCGAAGGCGGCUACCUGGACCGAUACUGACGCUGAGACGC